AAAGUUUCCAACUGUCCUCAAAGGCUUCCAAUAAUCCAUCAUGCUACUGGUAUCAAUCUUCCCUAGCAAUAGAGUAUUGGAAGACUUGUGGACCGUUGAAGACAC
rnacentral:pre_miRNA from 1 species